rnacentral:rRNA from 1 species
UACGAAGGGGGCGAGCGUUGUUCGGAUUUACUGGGCGUAAAGGGCGCGCAGGCGGUCUUGAAAGUCAGGCGUGAAAGCCCCGGGCUUAACCUGGGAAUUGCGCUUGAUACUCUGAGACUGGAGUACGGGAGAGGAGAGUGGAAUUCCCAGUGUAGAGGUGAAAUUCGUAGAUAUUGGGAAGAACACCAGUGGCGAAGGCGGCUCUCUGGACCGUAACUGACGCUGAGGCGCGAAGGCGUGGGGAGCAAACAGG